rnacentral:rRNA from 1 species
AGAGUUUGAUCCUGGCUCAGAGCGAACGCUGGCGGCAGGCUUAACACAUGCAAGUCGAGCGGGCGUAGCAAUACGUCAGCGGCAGACGGGUGAGUAACGCGUGGGAACGUACCUUUUGGUUCGGAACAACACAGGGAAACUUGUGCUAAUACCGGAUAAGCCCUUACGGGGAAAGAUUUAUCGCCAAAAGAUCGGCCCGCGUCUGAUUAGCUAGUUGGUAGGGUAAUGGCCUACCAAGGCGACGAUCAGUAGCUGGUCUGAGAGGAUGAUCAGCCACAUUGGGACUGAGACACGGCCCAAACUCCUACGGGAGGCAGCAGUGGGGAAUAUUGGACAAUGGGCGCAAGCCUGAUCCAGCCAUGCCGCGUGAGUGAUGAAGGCCCUAGGGUUGUAAAGCUCUUUUGUGCGGGAAGAUAAUGACGGUACCGCAAGAAUAAGCCCCGGCUAACUUCGUGCCAGCAGCCGCGGUAAUAC